rnacentral:lncRNA from 1 species
AGAGAUUGCGAUUCACCAUAUUGUUGAUCUAGUUGUAACAUUCGAGUGAUUCAUUACGAUACAAUUGAAUUGCAUGUGAAUACUAUUGUUUAGGGAAUUGUCGACGAUCCAACCUCAUUCUUAAUCCAUUGAUUUCUCAACAUUUUCGUACAAACACAUCAUUCAAACCAAACCCCCAAUUUAUGUGUAUUCUUUGCAUCAUGUUUAUGAACACUAUUAGACUCGUUUAAUCACACAAUCCCUGUGGAUCGAUAUUUUUAUUACUACGUGGUAAUUCGUUCACUUGCGAAAA